rnacentral:rRNA from 1 species
AUUGAACGCUGGCGGCAUGCCUUACACAUGCAAGUCGAACGGUAACGGGCCUUCGGGUGCCGACGAGUGGCGAACGGGUGAGUAAUGUAUCGGAACGUACCUUUCAGUGGGGGAUAACGUAGCGAAAGUUACGCUAAUACCGCAUAUUCUGUGAGCAGGAAAGCAGGGGAUCGCAAGACCUUGCGCUGAUUGAGCGGCCGAUAUCAGAUUAGCUAGUUGGUGAGGUAAAGGCUCACCAAGGCGAAGAUCUGUAGCGGGUCUGAGAGGAUGAUCCACCACACUUGAACUGAGACACGGUCCAGACUCCUACGGGAGGCAGCAGUGGGGAAUUUUGGACAAUGGGGGCAACCCUGAUCCAGCCAUGCCGCGUGAGUGAAGAAGGCCUUCGGGUUGUAAAGCUCUUUCGGCCGGGAAGAAAUCGUAUCAGCUAAUACCUGGUGCGGAUGACGGUACCGGCAUAAGAAGCACCGGCUAACUACGUGCCAGCCGCCGCGGUAAAAC